UAGUGCUGUGCUUGCUUCAUCAUUCACUCUUUCCCUCUGAGCAGUGAAGAAAGAGCCUAUUGUGUAUUUCUACUUUUAUUUGACAAUAACAAACUGUAUAUAAAAAGGAAGAGGGCAGGCAGGGAGGCCCUGGAUCUCCCCAUCUCUGCUUCUCAAAUAUCUCCCAAUCCUAGGCCCCAACAAGGACCACCCUUUCCUGCCUGGUGGUAAGGUGGGGAUUGACAGGCAUGGAUAGUGUGUGUGUAUGCGCACUUGUGUGUA